rnacentral:rRNA from 1 species
CGGACGGGUGAGUAAUGUCUGGGAAACUGCCUGAUGGAGGGGGAUAACUACUGGAAACGGUAGCUAAUACCGCAUAACGUCGCAAGACCAAAGAGGGGGACCUUCGGGCCUCUUGCCAUCGGAUGUGCCCAGAUGGGAUUAGCUAGUAGGUGGGGUAACGGCUCACCUAGGCGACGAUCCCUAGCUGGUCUGAGAGGAUGACCAGCCACACUGGAACUGAGACACGGUCCA